UUCUUCUUCCAGAACAGUUCGCUGCCUGACAAUAGUUUAGUGGGUGGCAUUUUAUAAAAGUAAGUAAGGCUUAUUUAAAUGUGUUGAAAUGAAAUCAAUACUCCUUGUUUCUAAUUUCACAAUAGUAAAAUCAGAUGUCUUGGGAUUUUUAUACCACUAACUAAACAGCAAGUACAUUUUCAAUCAAGGCUUACUCUAAUGACAUUAGCAUAUGCAUACAUACUCUGAAUAACAAACAUAAAAGAUUUUGUUAAAAUAUAUUGAAUCUGUAAAGAUAUUUUAAAUAUUUUGUGGGCCAGUCUAUAUGAUUCUUAGAAUUAAUAUGCAAAAGCUGGACAAUGUAUGUAUAAGUUACAUAUGUACAAGAUAAUGUAUGUAUUUAAAAAAAACCCAAACUGUAUGCAUAAACUAUUAAUGAAAAUAUUGAAAGAAUUUUGAGGUAAAACACAUAGAGAAGAAGAUUAAUUAAGUUUUCAAAAUGGUAAAAUGUAUUUAAAGAAGAAACCUUUAAUAAUUUCUUUGUUUUCAGUAUGAUGCAGAAGAUAUUUGACUGCCUUUUUUCUGAUAUGAUUAAAAUAAAUACAUGUUUCCAUUUCCAGAAUCACCUAGAUAUUGUCAAAAUACUGAAUGCUUCAAAAUAAUAUAAAUUUUAUGCCACUAUUAAAAUGCUGAUUUACGUAUCAGCAUAAAACACAAAACAGUUAUCUGGAGUUGUGACUAUCAACUGCCACUGAGAAAAUAUUCUACACCGAUGAGAAAUUCUAAAUAGGGCACAUGUUGACUCCCUUGACAUCUUACUGUAUGAUUUAGAUCAGCAGCAAUCAGGGAAAGAUGUAUGGGAUGGCAGGUGAUUUGUAGGAUCUGAAGUAAUUUGGACAGUUCUUGAGUCAGCAAGCAGUAACCAUCAAUACAACUAAUCAAAUAAUGUAGUAUUUUUGUAGUAGCGGUAUUAUAUGUCAUAUGUGGUAGUAUUGUAUCACAAUAAAAGUAGUUCUUGUACAAGUUAGUGACUUUAAGUCCUAGAGUUGAGGUCAUGGACUCACAUUACAUGUUGUUUAUAUUCAAAUAAUUCUGCGUGAUUGAUCAUGCUUUUAUUUAUGUUCAGAAUAAAACACUUACAGGAGAUUUAGUUGAAGACUACAGAAGAGGUGGUCCUAAGUUAGUGGUUUCCAAAACUGACUAUCCAACUUUGAGUCUUCUCAGCAGUUUUUAUAGAUAUUUAUUUCCCAGCUCCUUCUUAAGCUCACUGACUCAAAAUAUCUGAAAGAGGGCUCUGGAGCCAAUAUUAAAAUAUGUAACAAAGAAAACUUCCCUACAAGAUUUGCACUCAUAGCCAAAUUUUAGAAACAUUAAGCUAGAAUGGACUUCCUUGCACAGUAUGUGUUUUCUAUCUUCAUUGCAUGCAGGCUUCUGUGUAUGAUGCAUACAAACAUGAGGGAGGGGACAUAUUAGAUUUAAAAUUAUUUCAAAUGCUUACUGGGAAAUAAUGAUGAUGAUUAACAUUGUUAUCAUCACCAUCUUUAUUUCAUAUUUUUAUUUUGUUCCUUUUAGCUUAAACAUCUGAUUUGUGGAAAUAUCCUAAAGUAUUUCCCAGCAGCAUUGCCCAGCUAAAAUGGAAUUGUGUAUAACUGUCAAAUGGGCUACAAAAACUAUUCUUUGAUGUUUCAUGUUUUAUUCAUUAUUUUACCAUAGCACUGUAUUUAUAAUCCCAUUCAUAGUGCUAAACUGAAGAAAGAAAGUAAUAGCUGGAAAAUCAUUAUUUUUGAAAAAAAUAGUGAAAGGGUUAGGGAAGGGUCAAAAUCAUUUAAGAUUUUAGAUAUUAAAAACAAUUACUCCUAUAUGAAAAAGUAUGGAUAUUGUUGUAGAUUUGCUUCUGCCAUUCUAAGUUUAUAAUUCAUUCAUUUUGUUCUGAUUAUAAUAUUGAUUAAAGUUAUUUAAUUAUUAAUAGUUACUUUUGUACUUAAAACGUUACACAGUUAAAUGGUAAAAUUUGCCUUUUUAAGACAAGUAUGUUAAAUUAUCUGACCAAAAAAAAUCCUGUAUUAUUAAAAAUGAGGCUAAUACCAGAAUUCUAACUAUAACAGAAAAUGCUCAUAAAUGAGCAUGGGUAAGUGCUCUGAAUUGUAUGUUAAGUUUGUACCCACACUCUUGCCCUUGAACCAGUUUGUAAUUAAUCACAUUCAUCUGGCAUGAAUUCACAAGCUGCUCACCUCUUCAGAAGGUGGUACGUUAGCUUGUACAAUCGGGCCAAAUCAAAAGUGAUACAAGAAUCAUCCAAAUUCUGAUAUUUCAGAGGAGAUACUAGGAAUCAUGUAUCUAUAUUCAAAGUUCUAUAUUCAAAGUUGAUGCUGCCAGAAAAUCUACUGAGUCCUCCUCUCCACAUUUUUUUAGACUUAAUCUGGUUCAUACAUCUCCUCACUCUGCAGUCAGAUUGCCCUCUCACCCUCAGCAGGACCCCACAUCCCACAUUACUGGCAAAGUGAAGAGGAUUCAAGGUACUUUCUUCCCACUGAAUAAGUGGUUCUCUCCUCUUAGUUUUUUAGGAGUGUGCUUAUGUGCCUCUUAUUCAUUCAAUAGCCUAUGGUAGAAGUUGUGUUAUCUUCAAGUUUGUAACCACGCAUUUUUUUACUUUAUUAAAUUUCAAAUGUUUGAAACUCUAGCAUAAUUCCAUUAAGAUAAGUAUGAUCUGGUAUUAAUAGAAAACAGUGUAAAAUUUUUGGCUACUGAACUUUUUUUGAGGUAAUACUUUGAUUUUUUUUCUAAUUUAUUGAAAAAUUAUUUGUCUACUCUGAUCACCUAUUUGCAUUCAUUUUGGACACAUAGGAGAUUCUGCAAUCACAAAAUCACUGCCUUCACAUAGCUUAUAUUCUUGUGGGAGUAAGCAGACAAUGACAAACAAAUUGGAAGAGUAAGGGAAAAGUGUUAAUUUUAAAUAGGAUCGUCAAAGAAAGCCUCACCCCAAAGGUACCAUUUAAAUGAAGAUCCUGUGGCAGGCAGCUCCUUGGUUACCUGCUCUCUGUACUCAUUUUCCCCUCAUUUCUGCACACAUGGUUGUCCAAAUAUAGGCUACCUUUUCUAACUACCCUGGUAACACUAUGCAACUGUUUGCAAUGAAAUAUACGUAGAAGCAAUCUGUGAAAAUUUAACUCUAAUUUAUUUAAAAGGAAAUACCUUUGACCUAGACUUUUCUUUUUAUUCAUAUCCAUUCAUGCAGAUGGCAACAGUGCUCAAAGGGAAGGAAGAUAAUUAAAAUGGAAGACAGAGCCAUCAAAAACCAUGUGGAGGAAAGUCACUACAUGAGCCUAGACUGAAAGAAUGUACACAGGCAGAUAUAAAUGCCUAUUUCAUUUAACGUAUUUUGCUUAGGAUCUCCUUGUUAUAAAACCUUGGCUUUUGGUCAAAUAACACAGACCAGUAAGAAAUGAGGUUGGAAGAUGGGAAUAUUUAGGAGCAGUAGGAAUGAAUGCAGGCCACAAUGUUGCACUUAUUAUGGUAAUUAAAUAACCAGGAGAGAAGUAACUAAUGAGAGAGAGUGAGCAGAAGGCUUAGAUCCAACUAAAUCAAUGGGUAAGAUUUUCCACUAUACAAUAUAUUUUUUGUAAAUGUUAAUGGGAAUUUUCCUUCUAACAUUUGAAUAACUGUUCUAGAAACUAUGAAAUAAUUACUUACAACUGGCUCAUAUACCUUAUUUUUCAAAAUUGCCACAUUAACUUAUUGGAAGUUUCACCUCCUUUUAAAUCAUGAAAAAUACGCAGUUGCAACACAGACUUAAUCAUGGGUUGAACGAAUAUAUUCUCCUAGCUUUUUCUCAUUACUGAGCUGCAGAGAGGAAAACUUCUUGGCAGACUGAUACUUCUCAACAUAGUUUUUACAAUUCCUGAAUGCCCUAAUUCUGAGGUAGAACGUGAAUUGGAUGCCUGGCUGUGAGUUUAUAUGAACGCCAGCACGGCUGACUGCAGGGUUUCUCUGCAUGUCUCCUUUGCUUGUUCUCUCAGGACUUGUCUUCCAGUAACUAUGUGAAUAGAAGAGGCAAUUUCACUAAAUAAAAUAUUAUCACUCAUUUCACCCAGUUCUAGAAUCAGAGUAAACUUGGAACAUUAUUUAAAUGGACUAAAAUGUUCAUUGUCUGAUGCUGUGAGUUGCUUUUAACAGGAAUGUUUAUAAGACAGUUUUUAUUAAUGCCAUUUCUUUAUUCAAUAAGGCUCUCCUGACACCAGUUCUUGAACUAUAAAUGUGUUUGGAUUCCCAGAGGUUUUUACACUCUACUAACAUUUAUGAUUUGUGAGAGAUACCCGUUCCCUGAGGGGCAUGCAUCAUGCACAGGAAAACCACAGGAUCUGCGAAAUGCAAGAUGACCCAACUUCCAACAGUGUUAAUCAAUGGAGUAGUCAUGAAUUACUAUGUACUCAAUUAAACUUUGUUGCAAAAAUCAUGAUCUUUAAAGCCUUUUUCCAUUCUGUCUGUAUAUUCUGUCUUUUAAUGUAACACUUUAUGUUUUAUCCAUAUAAUUUUCCCUUCAUCAGAGAUAUACUUCCCUUGCUAUCUUGACUUGAAUGCUCAUUUCAUUCAUUGCCAGUUUCAAUGGCAUGGGAAAAUGCUAAAUGUAAGUAUUAUUGGAUAUACACAAACACACACACACACACACACACACACACACACUUUGAUCAUUGGUAUGUUUUGGCUUGCUUUAUUUCUUGCUGUGUUCUGGAUAAUCCAAGGGAUCCUCUUUUAGGUAGCCUAGCAACAAUCUGACUUAGCAGAAAGGGAUGCAAAGUCUUUGAUGUGAUAACUACCUCGGAAAGUGGUGAUCAACAACAGGAUAAAUGUGUCCAGGCACACAAGAAUCUAGAGCACGGUCCCCAACGCCUGGGCCACAGACCAGUAAUGAUCCAUGAUCUGUUAGAAACCUGGCCACACAACAAGACGUUAGCAGCAGGCAAGCAAGCAAAGCUUUAUCGGUAUUUACAGCCACUCUGCAUCGCCUGCAUUACCACCUGAGCUCUGCCUCCUGUCAGAUCAGUGGUGGCAUUAGAUUCUCUCAGGAGCACGAACCCUAUAGUGAACUGCACAUGCAAGGGAUCUCAGUGGCACACUCCCUAUGACAGUCUAAUGCCUGAUGAUCUGUCACUGUCUCCCAUCACUCCCAGAUGGGACCACCUAGUUGCAGAAAAACAAGCUCAUGGCUCCCACUGAUACUACAUUAUGGGGAGUUAUGUAAUUAUUUUAUUAUAUAUUGCAAUGUAAUAAUAAUAGAAAUAAAGUGCACAAUAAAUGGAAUGCUCUCGAGUCAUUCCGAAACCAUCUCUGCUCCUAUUGGCGGAAAUACUGUCUUCCACGAAACCGGUUCCUGGUGCCAAAAAGGUUGGGGAUUGCUGAUCUAGAAGAUGGCUAUGAUAAUGAAGGCGACUGGUUUUUUCAACUUUCUUUCUGAGAAGAGGCACCCAACCAGCCACAAGGAUUGUUAAGAACAAGAAAUAAAGACAUUAUACUUUGGGUGGAUUUGCUACCAUCACUUUUCUUAUCAUAAGCAAAACAAGAAAUAUUCCUUUGCUUCUGCAUCUGCAUCAAUAUUCUUCUGUUUUGUGUGUAAGCACAAUUAAAAGCAGUAUGCACUCUCUAUAUAAAAUAUUCUCAUAAUAUUUUACAGUAUUUUUUUUAUUAUGAUCCUUCUCAUACCAAUAAAACUGGAAAAUAAUGGAGUAAACAUUCAGUUCAACCUUUAAGGGGUGGUGAAGGAGAAAACUGUGCUACAGAAUAUUGGAUGUUAACAAUAUAGAAGAAUAGGAGAUUGAUGAAAUAAAUUAGAAUAUAAAGGUAGAAUUGAUCAAUAAAUUUUAGAUUAUUAUCUUUGAAAAGAAAAUUGAACACACUCAAACUCAUAGCCCCUUACCUCAGUUUCAUCCCUAAGGCUGCCCAAUUCAAUCCUGUGGUUUGAGAUGCAGCAGGCAUACCUGCUAGGGUGAAGAAUUCUUUCCAACUAGUAUCUGAGCGCAAGUAGUCUUAAGAUCUCGUAUUUCUAUACAUGACACUAUUUCCCAAAAUUAUCCUCCAAAGUACAGUCUUGCCAUAGGAAAGCCUGAAAUAAUGGUUUGCAUCAGAAGAAAUCUCCAGGAAGCCUGAAAUAAUGGUUUUCAUCAGAAGAAAUCUCCAGAGACCUCUCCAUACAGUGCCCACAGAAGAGGAGAUAGCUGUUUCCAGUUUGGGGUUAUUAUAAAUAAAGCUGCUAUGAAUAUUUAUGUUAAAUUUUGUGGGAACAUGUGGUUUCACUUUUCAGGGAUAGAUGUCAUAAGAGUGCAAUUGUUGCAUUGCAUGAAAAGCACUUGUUUGUUUGGAUUUUUUAAGAAAAAUCAUAUGAUUUUCCAGAGUGGCUGAAUUGUUUUUCAUCCCUACCACCAAUGUAUGCGCAAUCCAGUUGCUCUGCGUCAUUACCAAUAUUUGGUUUUAUCACUAGUUCUUAUGUAACCAUUCUGAUAGGUAUGUUGUUUUAGAGAAGAAAUCAUCACUUAAGAAUGAUUUUGUGAAAGAAGGAUCUGAAUCAUGUAAGCUUCAGAGAUCUGUGUAUUAACUACAGCUGGGCUUGGUAUGCUGUAUCAGCUUGCUUCCUUUAUCAAGCCUUAUGAUGCUAUUUAAUUUCCAAAGUUCCUUUUGAGCAGGCUUGUCUAUGUCUUUUCCUUGUUAUCCUGAGAUUCCAGGGAGGACUGUGUGUGUGUGUGUGUGUGUGUACACAUGCAUAUGUGCACAUGCACACACAUACAUGUGUGCACUUGUGUGGGCCAUAGAUUAUGCACUCCUGAUAGUACAAGAAUGGUGAUGUUAUGGAUACAUUCUGGCUUAAAGUACAAAAUCACCUUUACUUAUUUUUCUCACUUUUUAAAAAUUUUUUGCCAAGUCUUAUGUAUCUAAUUUUCUUGAUGUCUAUUAACAUGUUUCUUCCCUUGCGUCUUCAGUCACUGACAUAAGUUAGAUUCUUAUUUUUCUUACUGCACUAUUGCUUCUUAUUCUUCCUGUUUUAUUCAAUGUUUUGAUCAAUUCAUGAAUGCCUACUGUACCUUGAAUCAUAUCACACACAUAUCUAUAAGCUUCCAAUAAUAUUUGUUUUCUGCAUAGUUAAGUAAAAGUAAUUUCCCUUUGGAAUAUUCUUUAAUGUCACUAUUUUGUCUUAAAAUCCUCAUACUGACUUUUCUCUCCACAUUGUGCUCUCAGCUUGGAUUACUUACUUCUACGGAAGCACUCCACUGCUUUCCUAUCUGAACGCUUUCACUUACCUGUUCCUUUCUGAACGAUUUUACUCUAUAUCUUCCUAUGAAAUCCUGCCAGUUCUCAAAGUCCUUUGCUAAUGCCAAUUUUAUUUCUAAAUUCCAGUAACAUCUUAUCUAUAUAUUUUUAAACCCUAUACUAUUAUGUUUUUCACUUAUCUUACAGCUCCAAUGAGCUCCUUGAGAACAGAGGUAGAUUACACCCCAUGUUGUGUCCCACCUGUAUUAUUCUGCUCAGGCUGCCACAACAAAAACCACAGACUUGGGGCCUUACACAACAGAAAUUUGUUUCUCACAGUUCUGGGAUCUGGGAAGUCCGAGACCAAGGUGCUGGCCAAUUAGGUACCUUGUACAGCCUCUUUUCCUGGCCUGUGGACAGCAGCCUUCUUGCUGUGUCCUCAUACGGUGGGGACAGAGCAAACAACCUUCCUGCUGUGUCUUCUUGUAAGGGCACUACAGUCCCAUCAUGAUGGGCCCAUCCAUCCUCAUGACCUAAUCUAAACCUAAUUACCUCCCAAAGGCCUGAACCCCAGUUAUUAUCACACUGAGGAUUAGGCUUCCACAUAUGAAUUCAGGAUUGGGGAGCACAAUUCAGUUCAUACCACAAUGUGUUAUUGAACACAGUGCUUUGAACUGUGCUUUGAACACAGAAACUACAUAAUAAUUUCUCAAUAAAUACUUGUCAAACUGACUUGUAAUAGAAACCCUUUCAAAAGACAAAUGAGAGAAAUGGUGGUAAUAAAAAUUAUCUUGAUUUCCAGUUCCCUUCUAUAGCAGCUACACACACACACAGAGAGAGAGAGAGAGAGAGAGAGAGAGCGCAAGAGAGCUAAAGAUAUAAAAGAAACUGAGCAAACAAUUCUCACAUCAAGGAUUCUCGAGUAGAAAUCAGCCCAGCAUUAAACUAAACAGGUAAAGAGAGGAUACUGACAUAACAAUUUUUUUAAAUCACAUUUGAAUUCACAAUAUUGUGUGGAUUCACUUAAUGAUUUCUUUAGAAAGAUUAACUACUUGGAAAGAUUACUAUAAUAAAAAUAUGCUUAUAAGUGAAAAGCAGGAGAAGUUAACUAUUUUGCAAAACAAUUGUUAUUGAAUCUAUGUAGAUAAGCUCAACUUUAUCUGCUCUGGCAAAAUGCAGUGCUGACUUAAGUAACUGUAAGUAUACCAAUGUUUAGACUAUUUAGUAUCCAAAAGCUUUUUC
rnacentral:lncRNA from 1 species